UUCUCACAGAUGUGGGUUUGUGGGGCCCAGUCACCGGUAGCACACCAACGUUAUGGGGCCCUCAGACAUAGUGGGGCCCAAAACCCUGGGCCCCACACCGUUUUUCAUUUGUAAUGGGCUCAGGAGGCUGCCCUGACAUGCCCCCCACUCUUCUUUUACUUGGCCCACAAGGUAGCAAAGUUGAGUUCUGUGUGUAUAAUUUUUAGGCUCGUGAUCGCCCCCUAGGUGGUACUGCACCCUUAAGCACACUUCCUGAAGUGUGUAACGUUCAGCCAAUCACAUGUGGCCAAUUGAUCAGCUGCUUGACACAUGCUACUCAUGCACAAGGGCCACAUAUUGUGUGAAGGCAAGAUUUCACUUAGAGCAUGUCAGAAGAGCCAUAAUGCGAAGAAGGAAGCCAAGAAUCCGGCCUGUUGAUGAUGCAACAUCACACAUUCUUUCUUCGGGAGAUAAGCAGGGGCUUACUCAAAACGUCAUUGAUGAUUACAAAGCAUUGAUGCAUCCAGAGAAGAUGGGUCACUUGGACGAUUAGCGAAUGACGACCACAAAUCACCAAACUGUGUCAUGAAAAAAGUUAGUGUAAAUGACAGAGUACAUUUGUGCCUGUUUGCUCUGAGAAACAUAGAACCAGGAACUGAAAUUGUCUACAACUAUGGGGACUCAAAAUGGCCCUGGCGUAAAAAGGAGAACCUUGAGAAUGCCAACGUUGGGUCAGAUGAACCCAAGCUGUUCCCGGAUCAUGUUACUACUCAGGAGAACCUUGAGAAUGCCAACGUUGGGUCAGAUGAACCCAAGCUGUUCCCUGAUCAUGUUACUACUCAGGAGAACCUUGAGAAUGCCACCGUUGGGUCAGAUGAACCCAAGCUGUUCCCUGAUCCUGUUACUACUCAGGAGAACCUUGAGAAUGCCACCGUUGGGUCAGAUGAACCCAAGCUGUUCCCUGAUCCUGUUACUACUCAGGAGAACCUUGAGAAUGCCACCGUUGGGUCAGAUGAACCCAAGCUGUUCCCUGAUCCUGUUACUACUCAGGAGAACCUUGAGAAUGUCAACGUUGGGUCGGAUGAACCCAAGCUGUUCCCUGAUCAUGUUACUACUCAGGAGAACCAUGAGAAUGCCACCGUUGGGUCAGAUGAACCCAAGCUGUUCCCUGAUCCUGUUACUACUCAGGAGAACCUUGAGAAUGCCAACGUUGGGUCGGAUGAACCCAAGCUGUUCCCUGAUCAUGUUACUACUCAGGAGAACCUUGAGAAUGCCAACGUUGGGUCAGAUAAACCCAAGCUGUUCCCUGAUCAUGUUACUACUCAGGAGAACCUUGAGAAUACCAACGUUGGGUCAGAUGAACCCAAGCUGUUCCCUGAUCAUGUUACUACUCAGAGACCGUUGACUCACAAGAUUGUCCCCAAGAGAACAGUGAAGGUAUGCUGGAAGGAGAGGAGACAGAAGAUGCAACUUUUUUGUCAGAAGAAGUACAGGGAUCAGAGGAUGAGACUGCAUCAACCCUGCUAGAAGGUACCGCCUCUGUGAACUCCAAAAAGAAGAGAUUGGCAAGAAAGAGAGGAAUAUCAGAAGACGAAGCCACACCUCUCACAACAUCCGGCACAAAGAAAAGCAAGCCAUCAAGAAAGAAAGGUACAAAACCUGCCAUCAGAAGACCAUGGACGCCAGAGGAGUGUGCAGCAAUUAAGAGGCAAUUGAGAAGGUUUUUAAUAAUGAAUAUGACACCGGGUAAGGCAGAUUGUGAAAAAUGCCUUUCCGAAGAACCCGAGGCACUCAAAAACCGAGACUGGAAGGCAGUAAAAUACUUUGUGAAAAACAGAAGUUAUGAACAGAGAAAGAAAUCGAUGUAAGAAAAAAUAGGAAAGGUUUUUUUUCUCAUCUCUUGGAUUUUUGGAUUGAUGCAAAAGUCAGGUUUUAUUACCAUGCAAAAUGGUAGAAAUGUUCACAAUACAGUUCACAAAGGUUCAACCUAUGCCUGCCUUCGGCAUUCAAGCUAUUGUUAAAAAAAUGUUAAGUUGUUGCUGUUUGAUUUCGAUUUUCAUAUUCACGUCAUAAGAACUGAAACUACCGAUGGCAUUAUGGUCUUUUUUUGUCACUGUACCAUAACAAGUAAUACUCAAAGUUGAAUAAAAGUGAGAAAUGUGAGUAAACUCUGAUUAUUUAAUUACUCAUGGAUAGAAAUCGGACAAAUGGAAGAGGGAGGUCGAUGUUCAAGCUGGAAAGUUAAAAAAAAAAUCAUGCCUUGCUGAUGCCUAAUCCUGCCCAGGAGGACAAACCAAAGAUUUCUCUCGAUUUUUGGUCAUAUUGUAAGCGGCACUUGUAGGCAUGCUGUAUAGGCUGUUUCCUUAACCUCUAUGGUGGCUGGGGUGGGAAUAUCUGACCCCUGAAUUCAAGAAAGUGAUGCAAAUCAAGAAGCGUGUAGGAUUCAAACUCCAAAGGGGUUUAUUGGGACAAAAAUAAAAU
ensembl:lncRNA